UACGGGGGGAGCAAGCGUUGUUCGGAUUUACUGGGCGUAAAGGGCGCGUAGGCGGUCGUGACAAGUCACUUGUGAAAUCUCCGGGCUUAACUCGGAACGGUCAAGUGAUACUGUCGGACUAGAGUACAGAAGGGGCAACUGGAAUUCUCGGUGUAGCGGUGAAAUGCGUAGAUAUCGAGAGGAACACCUGCGGCGAAGGCGGGUUGCUGGACCGCAACUGACGCUGAGACACGAAAGCGUGGGUAGCAAACAGG
rnacentral:rRNA from 1 species